GGUGAUUCUCAGGUGAUGCACCCCCAGAAUCAGGCUCCCUCCUCUCUGGUUCCAGGUGCGUCACCCGAGAACCGCA
rfam:Myotis lucifugus cont2.21060, whole genome shotgun sequence.